UUCAGCCGCCGCCGCCGCCUCCGCCUCCCCCCUUCCCCCUCUGUAAAUCCGCUCCCCCAGAAAUUAGGGCUUGUCGGACUCGUUGUAGUGACAGCGGAGAGCGCCCUCCGCCUCUUGCCCCUCUUCUCACGCCGCCUCUCGCCGUCAAGUCGCCUCUUCUCUCCUCCACCAUUCAUGGUGCUUCGCCUCUCCUACUCUAUUUUUCUCAGAAGUGGUGGUGAGUGGCGAAUCUUGUCUGGAAUUUAGGAACUAAAGAAGAGGGAUAGAAAGGGAUAUAAAUUAGGGAUUUUGUUUUUCUGUUCUUGAAUUUACUGCAUUUCUUGAAUUGGUUUUCUUUUUCUUGUUUACUGAAUUUGCAGAGUGUUGAUUAGUUCUCCUUGAAUUUAUUUUUGUUGAAUUCAUGUUUCUCGCCGGAAAUGAAAAAUCUUGCUGCUGAAUUUGCUGAAUUUGUUGCGUUUCUUGAAUUUAUUUUUUGUUGAAUUCAUGUUUCUCAACACACGAAUUAGGAAGAGGUUAAGCUAUGAAUUUGCUGAAUUUGCUGCGUUCCUUGAAUUCAUGUUUCUCGCCGGCCGCGCAGCUUCUGCUUAGUGUUUGGUGUCGCCGGCCGCCGAGAGAGAGACACACAUGUUUGGGAAGGGGUUAAGCUAUACUUACUUUUUCUUGAACAUGUGGGACCUUCUAUUUUACCACACUAAUUUCACACUCCUUAAUCUCCGUGCCCAAAAGAAAGGGGAC
rnacentral:lncRNA from 1 species